AUCAUUAACUGAAUCCAUAGGUUAAUGAGGCGAACCGGGGGAACUGAAACAUCUAAGUACCCCGAGGAAAAGAAAUCAACCGAGAUUCCCCCAGUAGCGGCGAGCGAACGGGGAGGAGCCCAGAGCCUGAAUCAGCAUGUGUGUUAGUGGAAGCGUCUGGAAAGGCGCGCGAUACAGGGUGACAGCCCCGUACACAAAAGCGCAUGUGCUGUGAGCUCGAUGAGUAGGGCGGGACACGUGGUAUCCUGUCUGAAUAUGGGGGGACCAUCCUCCAAGGCUAAAUACUCCUGACUGACCGAUAGUGAACCAGUACCGUGAGGGAAAGGCGAAAAGAACCCCGGCGAGGGGAGUGAAAAAGAACCUGAAACCGUGUACGUACAAGCAGUGGGAGCACCCUUUGGGUGUGACUGCGUACCUUUUGUAUAAUGGGUCAGCGACUUAUAUUCUGUAGCAAGGUUAACCGAAUAGGGGAGCCGGAGGGAAACCGAGUCUUAAUUGGGCGUUAAGUUGCAGGGUAUAGACCCGAAACCCGGUGAUCUAGCCAUGGGC
rnacentral:rRNA from 1 species